CAAAGGGGCGCGGAGAGGAAGGAGCCACCGUACCUUCCGAUCAACCGCUGGCCCCAGAGCCCCAAGCCCCAAGCCCGGAGCCAGAGCCCGAGCAGGAGACCUGGCGCGGCUGCUCGCCCGGCUCUCUGCUGGCCGCUGACUAAGGCCGGGGCAGCCCGUGGUCCCUUGUCUCCCCGCGGCUGCCCGUGACAGGAGCCGGGGAAGCAGACGAGGGGCAGCCAGGGAUGGGAAAACCAGAUGGCUCCAUCCCUCCUCCCUCCUCCUCCAUCCCUCCCUCCGGGUGCCCGCGGGCCUGGCCGCCCUCCGCAGGGGCCCGGGGAGGCCGCGGGCCCCGCUCGUCCGGGCUCACCCCAGGGAAAGGGUUGCCUUUGUCUAAAGGUCACCACCCGAGCGCGGUGCCCGGGCUGGGCCUGGUGCCUCCCAUUCCCAGGCCGAGGGGGUAGAGAUGGGGGGCCGCCCCAAAUCUCGGGAGGUGACAGGGCCUGCCGGAGGCCCCGUUUCUUCGCGGCACCCCCGGCAGGGAUUUGGGGAGGGGGCGCAGAGGACGGCGAGAGGGGGAGAUGAAGGCUCGCCACCUCCGGCCGAGAUAGCACCAACCGCUGCCCCAUUGCCCUCUUCUUCUCCGAAAGGCGGGGAGCAGGCCCCGACUCGCAGGUAGAGAGAGUUAAGAGAUUUAAAGAGAAAUUGCUACAUUGUGAGAAACUCACCCUGAUGUUUGAGCAGCCGUCGGCGCGGGGUCUCCGAGACGGCCCCGCACGGGCUGCAAAGGGAGGACCCAGAAGGGGCCGACCG